rnacentral:rRNA from 1 species
GACGAACCGGAGUGGCCCGUUUCCAUUCUGGAAAUGAGUGCCGCUUUGAGUUUGUCAUCCUUCCAGAGAGCUGCGUCUACCGUUUACUCGGCCGGACGUAUGCGAUCUGGAUCUAUUACUUUGAAAAAAUUAGAGUGUUUAAAGCAGGCUUAUGCUGUGAAUACAUUAGCAUGGAAUAAUAAUUUAGGACUUUGGUUCUAUUUUGUUGGUUUCUAGGACUGAAGUA